rnacentral:lncRNA from 1 species
GUAGUGAAAUAGAAGAUUAAAUUUUUUUUUUAAUCUAUAUUAUGUAUGCAUAAAAUAUAAACCACAAAAAUCUACUUCAGAUGCUGAAAUUGAAUAUAUGCUAAAAUUGAAUAUGUGAUCGAAUCACAUACCUGUUUCAUAAUUUUUUUCUUCAAAUCUGGAUAUAAAAGAGAAGCAGCUUUCUCUUAUCUACACAAGUACUUAGUCUCUAUAGGUAUCCACUCAAGAUC